UCGCGGAGGGCCCCUCGGGGGCUCCUGUAGCUCCGGGGCACUCGGGCCAGUGCAAAACCUGGCCGCCCUUUAAAACCGGUCCUGGGGUCAGCUAUGCUCGCUGUGGUGGGCAGAGGCAGCAUGGAAGCAGGAACAGCCCAAGCCACCUUGGGGCCAGAAGCGGAAAAUCCACAUGGCAUCUCCUUCUGAUGGUAAAUAUACUAUGAACCAAAUCAGUGGGAAAUUUGCUGCCCUCUCAACUUCCAUCAGGAUUUGACUGCCUCACCCUGCCUAAUGGUAAGGCUGGACUUUCAGGAACAGGAAUCUGCUUCUACAGGCAACACAAGUAAACAAUGCAGGAGUAAGGUGAGGCAGUCGACGUGCUGAACCGCUGCCUGGCUGCGACAAUGGACUGGAUGAGAACUAGCAAACUGAGACUCAAUCCUGACAAGAAUGAGAUGCUGUUGGUGGAUGGUUUCUCUGAUCGGAUGGUGGAUAUAUACCCUGUCCUGGAUGGGGUUACACUCCCCCUAAAGGAACAGGUGCGUAGUCUGGGAGUCAUCUUAGACUCUUCCCUCACACUUGAGGCUCAUGUAGCCUCGGUGGCCCGGAAUGCGUUCUACCAACUUCGGUUGGUAGCCCAGCUACGUCCCUAUCUGAGUAAGGAGGACCUCACAUCAGUGGUACAUGCUAUGGUAACCUCGCGUCUGGACUACUGCAAUGCGCUUUAUGUAGGGCUACCUUUGAAGACGAUUCGGAAGCUACAGCUAGUGCAAAAUGCGGCGGCCAGACUGCUAACAAGAACUAAGCGGUCUGAGCAUAUAACACC